rnacentral:sRNA from 1 species
GCUGGGUGUGGUGGCGUACACCUGUAAUCCCAGCAACCCAGAGGCUGAGGCAGGAGGAUCGAGACUUCAAACCCAGCCUAAG